AUUGAUUGAUUGGCGAUGCUGGCAACAAGUAGAAAAUGGUAUUUUGAGUGAGUAUGGUGACGCUGGCAGCCGUGAGUGUUGGGAACAAGGCAAACCAACAAGUGUAAGUUUUGAUAGUUUCAGUUCGUGCUCAUGGUCUUUUCGCUUUCUGCGUUUUUCUAGCGUAUACCUACUAUCCCAUCUCAUCUCAUCCCACGUAUGCGUACCUACCUUCCGUUAUUUCAGCAGCCUAGCUUGAGAUACAAACCAAUCAAUCUUCUGAUGGAUGGGGCCGGAUCAUUUAAUUCUCCCACGAAACAAGGCACCCCUUGAAUCAUCUCCCAAGAUGGAUCCUUCAAUUCUGCCUCGAAACAAGGCGUCCCUUGAAUUGUCUCCCAGAGAACCAAAUCAAAGCAGCGCCAUCUCCCUCUCGUUUCCAAGAUGCCUCGAUCCAUCACGCGGAUCCACCUUCCAUCCAACGCCUCUCCGCAUUGCUCGCCCGCUCCUCUCCCAGAUAUGAUGGCUGACACCCCUCUCUCCUCUCUAUGAAAUGUCCUGCCCCGUCUCCAAUUGCUAGCUCCUCUUUUCUCCUCAAUCGAACACCUCACGCGUCUCCCAUCUAUGCAACGCCGUCGACCUGCCAAUGAUGCAUCUCCGGCCGGCCCGCUUGCCUGUUUGCCCCACCCUCUACUCUAUGUAAAGGCUACGCACACCAUGCUUGCUCCAUCCCAGUCUACUUUUAAGGAAACCAGUCAAUCGCCUGAUGCCCCCUUUUUUGUUUUUGUUUUUUGUUUUGACCUGGUGAUGCAUCUAUUGACAUGGAAGCUGGAGGUGCGGACCGGGCAAGAGCACAACUAAAAGCCGGGCACUAGGCGUGAUACAAAAGUAUACAUGUUUCAGUCGAGGACAAUGCAGACAUCUGCGUCAAUUCAAGCAAGAUGAGGCAGCGAUGGGGGCAAAAAGUACCCUUCUGCACAAGCAGCACAGCAAAAAAGCCAGGAAGUUCUGUUAAGAGCGAUGGGCUAGCUGUGCACACGAUGGGUGUUUGAUUCAGAAGAUCCACACGAGUUCAUCCAAGCAAAGGGAAAAAGAUGCACCAACCAAAAAUGGACUUGGUAGUGAGAAAAGGUGAGUGAAGGGAGACUCGCCUUGAAGUUACAACGUCCCUUAUCGAUCACACAAGCUCCCUCCUCACGGCCGAUCGAUG